rnacentral:rRNA from 1 species
GUGUUCCUACGGGGCGCAGCAGUGGGGAAUAUUGGGCAAUGGGCGCAAGCCUGACCCAGCAACGCCGCGUGAAGGAAGAAGGCUUUCGGGUUGUAAACUUCUUUUGACAGGGAAGAGCAAAAGACGGUACCUGUCGAAUAAGCCACGGCUAACUACGUGCCAGCAGCCGCGGUAAUACGUAGGUGGCAAGCGUUGUCCGGAUUUACUGGGUGUAAAGGGCGUGUAGCCGGGCUGACAAGUCAGAUGUGAAAUCCGGGGGCUCAACCCCCGAACUGCAUUGUAAACUGUGGGUCUUGAGUAUCGGG